rnacentral:rRNA from 1 species
UACGUAGGGGGCAAGCGUUGUCCGGAUUUAUUGGGCGUAAAGAGCGUGUAGGCGGCCUGGCAAGUCUGCUGUGAAAACUCGAGGCUCAACCUCGAGAUGUCGGAGGAAACUGCCUGGCUAGAGUCCGGAAGAGGAGAGUGGAAUUCCUGGUGUAGCGGUGAAAUGCGCAGAUAUCAGGAAGAACACCUAUGGCGAAGGCAGCUCUCUGGGACGGUACUGACGCUGAGACGCGAAAGCGUGGGGAGCGAACAGG